rnacentral:misc_RNA from 1 species
AAGAGUCGGAUGAGUGGAGACGUUCACGUUCGGUUCCGUGAGCACAUCAGGGACAAACUCGAACUCUCGCGUCCACCGCAUCGUAUCGAAUCGCGGCAAUUGCCGAAUUAAGAUACAAGAUAUUGAUUCUUAU